GGUGCUCAGGGCAGUGCUCAUGCUCAGGCGAAUGCGCCUACAGCACACAAGUUCUCAGCAAGCUUAAGGUCCCCAGCUCAAAUGUCCAAAGAGGCCAAUUUCAAGGAAAAUGCAGAGUAAACGUCCUUGAGGACAAGGGCCUUUGUCUUCUACCAGCACUGCUGUUGUGGCUACUUUGGAUUCCUGCAGAACUGUGUGAAAAGGGUGGAGUUAAUACAGGAAAUUGGUUACCAAGAAACUCAAAGGUUGAAGGAAAGCAAGACACAACAAAGAAAAGACAGAUCACCCAUGGCUGAGAGCAGUGACCUCACCAGAGUCUGGGGGACAGAAGGGAGUUGCCCGAGCUGCCAAAGCCCAAGAAAUCAGAGCCUUAAAGGACACUCGAAGAACAUUAAAAUGCUGUGACCACUUCUAAGCAGAGACUACGGUGCCUGGCAGAGUUCUUAGAAUUUAGUGGAUUUUCAACAUAGGCUUAUAUUUAACGAAUUAAUAAUGAAAGGCUUGAUUCUUCUGACAUCUUCCUUUAUGGUAAAGACAGUGAAUGGAAAAUCAGAGCUGAAGAAGAGGAGAUGCUUUUCAACGGACCUCUCAUUUGAAGUCCAGUGAGCACACAAUCAAGCGUUGGUCUUGCCAUCUCCGUUUCCGAGACUUGCCAGGUAUUUCCUGGGCUGUCAGCUGUUAGCUGGAGUGUGUGCAGGGUUCUGAGAGGUAUGGAGCCACAGGGAGCUGCAGUUUUAGCUCCUAGCUAUACUCGGCACCUCAGUUCCCAUGAAGAAUCAGCCUUCUCUCCUCCUGCUGGGAACCCCUCCUGGUGAGGGAUCCUGGGGGUGGCAGCCAUCUUCCCACAGCCUGUCACUGAGAGGAAAGAAUGGCACUGGGUCCAGUGUAACUGGAGGAUGUGACAACUGGAAGGACACAUGAGUGAUGGAGAAAUGUCUUUGUAAUCAGAACUAUUCGUUGGCCCUCAGCAUCUCCUAUCCAUUCCACUACGCAGACGGGGAGACUGAGUCAGUGGUGACUGGGAGAUCUGCACUGGCUCAGUCAGAAGCAAGACCAGACUGUUUCCAAGCUCUGAGCUGAAAGUGUCUGUGCUAGCUUUAUGCAGUUGCUGACCCGUUCCCGCUGGUGGGCACUUUGAUAAAUCAUUUCAAUUAGAAACAGAUGUUAUCAUGCUACACACAGAGAUGUAUCUUCCCAAGGUUCCAAACCAGCGAUGUUGCUAUUUAUGACUUCCAGUCGGUGUGUGGUCAGUGCUGGCCUAACCUCACACACGAACAAAUAAGCACACGGCAACGUUAGCUUUGGUGUUUCAGGAGAGCCGAGUAUAGAGUUGUGUGUCCUCCCUAGACAUAAGAUUAAUCUUGUUUGGGAAAUGGGCAGGGGAAAUAAGAGUUUGGGUUUUUGUGCAAAACAUCCAGCAAAUAACACAACAAAGGAGACUGUAGGAAUCUCUGUCUGGGAGGUAAUCACUGAAACAGCCUUCCUCACUCCAUGACACCUGGUUGAAACCAUCAUAGUUUGAGGACCUAAACUUGCAUGAAGAGGCAGUCCCAUGUCAUUUCUCCCGUAUUUAAUAUUCAUAUGGCUUUUGUUUUCUGAUAAUGACUCCCACUUAGCAAUAAAAUUA
ensembl:lncRNA LOC102551724 uncharacterized LOC102551724